rnacentral:tRNA from 1 species
GGUAGAAUGGCUGAGUUUAAAGGUAAUAAAUUGUAAAUUUAUUUAGGGGAAUAUUUCUCUUCUAUCA